rnacentral:sRNA from 2 species
GUCUUGCGUUAGGGAUUGCAAUGAAAAUCCUUUUACGAGGAACGAGAAAAAGAUUGCAAUGUAAAGCCCGGCCGAAG